rnacentral:tRNA from 1 species
UCCUGGUUAGCUGUGUUGGUAGAGCGCUCCACUGGAAACGGAGAAGUCUCUGGUUGAACACCAGGACCAGGCG